UACGUAGGGGGGCGAGCGUUGUCCGGAUUCAUUGGGCGUAAAGCGCUUUAAGGCGGUUCGGUAAGUCGGGUGUGAAACCUCCAGGCUCAACCUGGAGACGCCACUCGAUACUGCUGUGACUAGAGUUCGGUAGGGGAUCACGGAAUUCCUGGUGUAGCGGUGAAAUGCGCAGAUAUCAGGAGGAACACCGGUGGCGAAGGCAGAUCUCUGGGCCGUAACUGACGCUGAGGAGCGAAAGCAUGGGGAGCGAACAGG
rnacentral:rRNA from 1 species